rnacentral:rRNA from 1 species
CAGGAACGCUGGCGGCAGGCUUAACACAUGCAAGUCGAGCGCCCCGCAAGGGGAGCGGCAGACGGGUGAGUAACGCGUGGGAAUCUACCCAUCACUACGGAAUAACGCAUGGAAACGUGUGCUAAUACCGUAUACGUCCUUCGGGAGAAAGAUUUAUCGGAGAUGGAUGAGCCCGCGUUGGAUUAGCUAGUUGGUGGGGUAAAGGCCUACCAAGGCGACGAUCCAUAGCUGGUCUGAGAGGAUGAUCAGCCACGCUGGGACUGAGACACGGCCCAGACUCCUACGGGAGGCAGCAGUGGGGAAUAUUGGACAAUGGGCGCAAGCCUGAUCCAGCCAUGCCGCGUGAGUGAUGAAGGCCCUAGGGUUGUAAAGCUCUUUCACCGGUGAAGAUAAUGACGGUAACCGGAGAAGAAGCCCCGGCUAACUUCGUGCCAGCCGCCGCCGUAACAC